rnacentral:rRNA from 1 species
AUUGAACGCUGGCGGUAUGCUUAACACAUGCAAGUCGAACGAUGAGAAAGAGCUUGCUCUUUCGAUUAGUGGCGGACGGGUGCGUAACGCGUAGGAAUCUACCUAUUAGUGGGGGACAACUUAGGGAAACUUAAGCUAAUACCGCAUACGCCCUACGGGGGAAAGAAGGGGAUCGCAAGACCUUUUGCUAAUAGAUGAGCCUGCGUAGGAUUAGAUAGUUGGUGGGGUAAAAGCUCACCAAGGAGACGAUCCUUAACUGGUUUGAGAGAAUGUGCAGUCACACAUGAGGUGAGACACGGUACCGACUCCUACGGGAGGCCGCAGUGGGGAAUAUGGGACAAUGGGCGAAAGCAUGAGCCAGCAAUACCGGUUGUGUGAAGAAGGCCUUAGGGUUGUAAAGCACUUUCAAUUGGAAGGAAAACCUCGAAGCGAAUACCUUCGAGUUUGACAUUACCUUUAGAAGAAGCACCGGCUAACUCCGUGCCAGCUGCCGCGGUAA